CUCUUCAAAGCCAGUGAGAGUCCCUGGCUUCUGAUGGGCCUCUGACAUUUGUUCUGACAUCUGUGAGGACACACUGAGAAGGCAGCCAGCCAUCUGCAAGCCAGGAGAAGUGUUCUCAACAGAAACCAAAUUGUCCAGAACUUUGAUCUUGGACUUUCAGCUUCCAAAACUAAGGAGAAAAUUGAUGCAUAAAGAAUUGGAGUAUUUACUAUCUCAAUAAAUACUUAUCUGGAAUUAAGAUGAAGCAGCACUGAGAUUUCUCUGGACUAAAACAAUUAAAUUGGAUCUAUAAAGCUUGCCAUAAGACCAAGAUAUACUCCUAGGCAUUUCAUCCUCAUAUCCCAACAAGGAUUGGUGGCAUAUGGAUGAUAUCCAUUGAUAGGAUACUAUCCUACUUCAUGUAUUAACAACUGGACUUCCACCUGUGUCAAGGACAAUUUGUGCCCUCCUGCCCUGCCACCUUCAUCCCUAACAGGAUAGUAAAUAACCCGCAACACUAUUGCCCACACUCUUGGCUGAGUCUUGAUAUGUACUGCCUGGAUUUGGAUUUCUCUGAAGUGGAUUCUAAGGUUACAGAAGGAAGAGCCUAAAGGAAAAUGUAGGUCAAGUGCUUUUAUCCCUUGCAACUUUCAGAAGAACAAUCACAAAAUUACAGUGACUGGUCCUGAUUUCUAAUGAUGGAAAGAGAAAGCUGGCUCAACGACACAUAUCUGGACACAUCUCUUAGGGAGUUGGAAUUCAAUAGAGAGGGUGGACAAUACAGAAUCAAUGAAGUAAUCUUGGAUCGAUUCCCAAAUGAACUACCUGCAUAAAAGCCUCAGUCUCAGGAUCUGCUUUUGUGAAGGAUAUAAGGAUCUAGAAGAGACACGAGGAAAUAACCAUGGCUCAGAGUGUGAUUAAAUACAAGGAGAGCUUCAGGAAGAUCCCUGCAACCAGCCACAAUGUUCAGUACUUUUUGGAUAUUUGUUGGAUUUCAUUUAGAAUGUUAUUCGAUUUGCUACUCUUUAUUGUCUAGUGGCAAAAGCAAAAUAAUUCCAGCUCUUCAAAAUGGAGGUUUUAAUCCAAGUUGCAAGGUAGAUGAAAUUAUUGAAGUGAUUUUGAAACUACUAUUACAUUACCUCUCCUGAAAUAGAAUUUGAACUAAAUGUAAGAUCACCAGAACACCUGAUACAAAAGGUUUAUGUAUUAUCCAUCUGUGUCAUGUGGGGUUUGAACUUUUCAAGAAUUCAUGAAACUCCAUACUGACAAAGGUAGUUUACUCUUCUUUUCAAGUUCAUGUCAUGAAACCUGUGAGCGAUUGUGGACAUGGUGCUCCUCUGAGGAAAAGUGACUCUACAACUAACUCUAUUUAACCACACACCCUGGCCUCCAGUAUUGAUAUCUGGAAAAGUACUCUGGCUGAUUAUGUUUAUAGAUUGCCUAUAUAACAUCUUGUACACUAUUUCAAGGAAGAUUAAAGCUAUAUCUCUUAGAAUGUGAUGGGACACUUAUAUUUACCUAUAUAAGACUUCCCGGUGUAUAACACAACUGCCUGGAAGCAUGACGACACCAACCUUGAGGCUCACGACAGGGGUGUGCCAAGAAAACAAAAAAAUAUUCUGCAGUGCAUACAGACAUCAAGGACACUGGAAAAACCAAAUGUGUUUUCUGUAUUAAGUUUAGGA